GUGGACGUUAGUUUUGAGUCACCUGAUUACUCGUCGAAGAAAGUAACAACUCGGUUGCAUGCAGUGGUAAAUUCCCACAAUCACAAGCUUCAAAGGAAAACCUGUAAAGCAUCGGUUAGUGAUGAGAGCAAAAACGAGGUCGAUAAGAAGGAUAAGAAGAUGGAGAAAGAGAGGGCAACUGCAAGUGUUUCAUCGCGUGACAGUGGGUGUUUCAGCAGCGAAGGAACCGAAAACGAGGAGACCAAAACGCUAAUCUCCGCUUCACUAAGCUUCUCGGACGAUUCAUUCCUCGAGUUGAAUGAAUCACUGGCUGGCGAAUCCCAUAACGAAACCAAAAAGAGCAAGAAAGAGAUAAAUAAUGGGAAGAAAAUGAAGAGACCGAGAAGCUUUGGUUCAAAGAAAUACAGAGGACCUUCGAAACCUAACUGUUCAAAGACAAAGACAAAGACGGG
rnacentral:lncRNA from 1 species